UACGUAGGGGGCAAGCGUUGUCCGGAAUUAUUGGGCGUAAAGCGCGUGUAGGCGGCUCGGUAAGUCUGCUGUGAAAGUCCAGGGCUCAACCCUGGAACGCCGGUGGAUACUGUCGAGCUCGAGUCCGGAAGAGGCGAGUGGAAUUCCUGGUGUAGCGGUGAAAUGCGCAGAUAUCAGGAGGAACACCAAUGGCGAAGGCAGCUCGCUGGGACGGUACUGGCGCUGAGACGCGAAAGCGUGGGGAGCGAACAGG
rnacentral:rRNA from 1 species